rnacentral:rRNA from 1 species
UUUUUCUGGCUUCGGCUCGAUCUCACACCCUUUGUGAACGUACCUCUGUUGCUUUGGCGGCUCCGGCCGCCAAAGGACCUCCAAACUCCAGUCAGUAAACGCAGACGUCUGAUAAACAAGUUAAUAAACUAAAACUUUCAACAACGGAUCUCUUGGUUCUGGCAUCGAUGAAGAACGCAGCGAAAUGCGAUAAGUAAUGUGAAUUGCAGAAUUCAGUGAAUCAUCGAAUCUUUGAACGCACAUUGCGCCCCUUGGUAUUCCGGGGGGCAUGCCUGUUCGAGCGUCAUUACAACCCUCAAGCUCUGCUUGGAAUUGGGCACCGUCCUCACUGCGGACGCGCCUCAAAGACCUCGGCGGUGGCUGUUCAGCCCUCAAGCGUAAUAGAAUACACCUCGCUUUGGAGUGGUUGGCGUCGCCCGCCGGACGAACCUUCUGAACUUUUCUCAAGGUUGACCUCGGAUCAGUAGGGAUACCCGCUGAACUUAAGCAUAUCAGUAAGCGGAGGAA